GCCUGGCUUAUUAGGGAUGAUAGACUACUCAUAUCAAUAAUGAAUUCCUUCUUUUCCGGAAGCCCAUUUGAACAGAACUCUCAGGUUAAGCAUGCUUGGCUUGGAGUAGUUCUAGGAUGGGUGACCGACCGGGAAGUUGGUCUUGGGUGCGCAUGAGUGAGGACAAAGUGCGCAAAAAAGACUAGUAUUGAUAUGUAGGGCCAGUCUAGAUCCCGCCAGAUCCCUUCGACAAGAUCAACAUCUUCAUCGGCAUGAUUGGAACACCCGUGCCUGAGCCGGACACCUCCACCGACAUCGUCGAGCCGGCCAGGUACGUCCUCCCCAUCACACAUCAGGACAAGAGACGCCAUGUUUUUGUCGGUUUUACGCAGGGAGCCAGCAUACAGGACGAA
rnacentral:lncRNA from 1 species